rnacentral:rRNA from 1 species
CUGGCGGCGCACAUAAGACAUGCAAGUCGAACGGAGGUCGUUAUAAAGGAGAAGAAGAUUAUCGGAUUCAAAUUAUAACAAUGGCUUUAGUGGCGGACUGGUGAGUAACACAUGAGCAACCUGCCUAUUAGAGGGGAAUAACAAUGAGAAAUCAUUGCUAAUACCGCAUAUGCUGUGAAUAUCGCAUGAUAUAAACAGGAAAGGAGUAAUCCGCUAAUAGAUGGGCUUGUGCCUGAUUAGCUAGUUGGUGGGGUAACGGCCUACCAAGGCGACGAUCAGUAGCCGAACUGAGAGGUUGAACGGCCACAUUGGGACUGAGAUACGGCCCAGACUCCUACGGGAGGCAGCAGUCGGGAAUAUUGCGCAAUGGAGGGAAAAACCUCUGACGCAGUGACGCCGCGUAUAGGAAGAAGGUUUUCGGAUUGUAAACUAUUGUCGUUAGGGAAGAAAAAAGACAGUACCUAAGGAGGAAGCUCCGGCUAACUAUGUGCCAGCAGCGGC